UGGGGAAUAUUGGACAAUGGGCGGAAGCCUGAUCCAGCCAUGCCGCGUGUGUGAAGAAGGCCUUUUGGUUGUAAAGCACUUUAAGCGAGGAGGAGGCUACUUGGAUUAAUACUCUAGGAUAGUGGACGUUACUCGCAGAAUAAGCACCGGCUAACUCUGUGCCAGCAGCCGCGGUAAUACAGAGGGUGCGAGCGUUAAUCGGAUUUACUGGGCGUAAAGCGUGCGUAGGCGGCUUUUUAAGUCGGAUGUGAAAUCCCUGAGCUUAACUUAGGAAUUGCAUUCGAUACUGGGAAGCUAGAGUAUGGGAGAGGAUGGUAGAAUUCCAGGUGUAGCGGUGAAAUGCGUAGAGAUCGGGAGGAAUACCGAUGGCGAAGGCAGCCAUCUGGCCUAAUACUGACGCUGAGGUACGAAAGCAUGGGGAGCAAACAGG
rnacentral:rRNA from 1 species